AUUGAACGCUGGCGGCAGGCUUAACACAUGCAAGUCGAGCGGGGUGAUGGUGCUUGCACUAUCACUUAGCGGCGGACGGAUGAGUAAUGCUUAGGAAUCUGCCUAUAAGUGGGGGACAACAUCUCGAAAGGGAUGCUAAUACCGCAUACGUCCUACGGGAGAGAGCAGGGGAUCACUUGUGACCUUGCGCUAAUAGAUGAGCCUAAGUCGGAUUAGCUAGUUGGUGGGGUAAAGGCCUACCAAGGCGACGAUCUGUAGCGGGUCUGAGAGGAUGAUCCGCCACACUGGGACUGAGACACGGCCCAGACUCCUACGGGAGGCAGCAGUGGGGAAUAUUGGACAAUGGGGGGAACCCUGAUCCAGCCAUGCCGCGUGUGUGAAGAAGGCCUUAUGGUUGUAAAGCACUUUAAGCGAGGAGGAGGCUCUUUUGGUUAAUACCCAAGAUGAGUGGACGUUACUCGCAGAAUAAGCACCGGCUAACUCUGUGCCAGCCGCCGCCGUAA
rnacentral:rRNA from 1 species